CAUGAAAUCCUUCGGCUCAACCGGGGGAGGUUGUCCGAUACUGCCGGACUGGAGGGCAGUAGAGGGUGGUGGAAUUCCGGGUGUAGUGGUGAAAUGCGUAGAGAUCCGGAGGAACACCAGUGGCGAAAGCGGCCACCUGGACUGAACCUGACGCUAAAACGCGAAAGCUAGGGGAGCGAACGGGAUUAGAAACCCCGGUAGUCCUAGCUAUAAACGAUGUUGACUAGGUGUCGGCGGUCUAAACCCCGUCGGUGCCGCAGCAAACGCAUUAAGUCAACCGCCUGGGGACUACGGCCGCAAGGUUAAAACUCAAAGGAAUUGACGGGGACCCGCACAAGCAGCGGAGCGUGUGGUUUAAUUCGAGGCUACGCGAAGAACCUUACCAGGGAUUGACAUGACCGUAGUAGUGAAGCGAAAGCGGAACGACCCUUCGGGGAGCGGUCACAGGUGAUGCAUGGCUGUCGUCAGCUCGUGCCGUGAGGUGUUUGGUUAAGUCCACUAACGAGCGCAACCCUUAGCGCCAGUUACACGUGUCUGGCGCGACUGCCGGUAUUAAGCCGGAGGAAGGUGGGGAUGACGUCAAGUCAGCAUGUCCUUUAUACCCUGGGCGACACACACGCUACAAUGGCCAGCACAAUGGGUCGCCAAGCCGUGAGGCGGAGCCAAUCCUAAAAAGCUGGUCUCAGUUCGGAUUGCAGGCUGCAACCCGCCUGCAUGAAGUCGGAGUUGCUAGUAACCGCAGGACAGCUAUACUGCGGUGAAUACGUUCCCGGGUCUUGUACACACCGCCCGUCACGUCAUGGGAGCUGGCAACACCUGAAGCCGGUUGGCCAACCGCAAGGACGCCGCCGUCGAAGGUGGGGUCGGUGACUGGGACGA
rnacentral:rRNA from 1 species